CUACGGGGGGGCAGCAGUGGGGAAUAUUGCACAAUGGGCGCAAGCCUGAUGCAGCAACGCCGCGUGAGGGAUGAAGGCCUUCGGGUUGUAAACCUCUUUUAGCAGGGAAGAAGCGAAAGUGACGGUACCUGCAGAAAAAGCACCGGCUAACUACGUGCCAGCAGCCGCGGUAAUACGUAGGGUGCAAGCGUUGUCCGGAAUUAUUGGGCGUAAAGAGCUCGUAGGCGGUUUGUCACGUCUGCUGUGAAAAUCCAAGGCUCAACCUUGGACUUGCAGUGGGUACGGGCAGGCUAGAGUGCGGUAGGGGAGAUGGGAAUUCCUGGUGUAGCGGUGGAAUGCGCAGAUAUCAGGAGGAACACCAAUGGCGAAGGCACAUCUCUGGGCCGUAACUGACGCUGAGGAGCGAAAGCGUGGGGAGCGAACAGGAUUAGAUACCCGUGUAGUC
rnacentral:rRNA from 1 species